UACAAUGGAGAGUUUGAUCCUGGCUCAGGAUGAACGCUAGCGGGAGGCCUAACACAUGCAAGCCGAGCGGUAUUUGUCUUUCGGGACAGAGAGAGCGGCGUACGGGUGCGGAACACGUGUGCAACCUGCCUUUAUCUGGGGGAUAGCCUUUCGAAAGGAAGAUUAAUACCCCAUAAUAUAUUGAAUGGCAUCAUUCGAUAUUGAAAACUCCGGUGGAUAGAGAUGGGCACGCGCAAGAUUAGAUAGUUGGUGAGGUAACGGCUCACCAAGUCAAUGAUCUUUAGGGGGCCUGAGAGGGUGAUCCCCCACACUGGUACUGAGACACGGACCAGACUCCUACGGGAGGCAGCAGUGAGGAAUAUUGGACAAUGGGUGAGAGCCUGAUCCAGCCAUCCCGCGUGAAGGACGACGGCCCUAUGGGUUGUAAACUUCUUUUGUAUAGGGAUAAACCUUUCCACGUGUGGAAAGCUGAAGGUACUAUACGAAUAAGCACCGGCUAACUCCGUGCCAGCAGCCGCGGUAAUACGGAGGGUGCAAGCGUUAUCCGGAUUUAUUGGGUUUAAAGGGUCCGUAGGCGGGCUCGUAAGUCAGUGGUGAAAUCUCAUAGCUUAACUAUGAAACUGCCAUUGAUACUGCGAGCCUUGAGUAAGGUAGAGGUAGCUGGAAUAAGUAGUGUAGCGGUGAAAUGCAUAGAUAUUACUUAGAACACCAAUUGCGAAGGCAGGUUACCAUGUCUUAACUGACGCUGAUGGACGAAAGCGUGGGGAGCGAACAGGAUUAGAUACCCUGGUAGUCCACGCCGUAAACGAUGCUAACUCGUUUUUGGGGCUUUAAGCUUCAGAGACUAAGCGAAAGUGAUAAGUUAGCCACCUGGGGAGUACGUUCGCAAGAAUGAAACUCAAAGGAAUUGACGGGGGCCCGCACAAGCGGUGGAUUAUGUGGUUUAAUUCGAUGAUACGCGAGGAACCUUACCAAGGCUUAAAUGGGAAUUGACAGGUUUAGAAAUAGACUUUUCUUCGGACAAUUUUCAAGGUGCUGCAUGGUUGUCGUCAGCUCGUGCCGUGAGGUGUUAGGUUAAGUCCUGCA
rnacentral:rRNA from 1 species